rnacentral:rRNA from 1 species
CACGCAGGCGGUCGAGUAAGAGUGCGGGGACAGUGGGUGGCUUAACUGCCCAAGGGUCGCACAGACUGCUUGACUGGAGGGCCAGAGAGGGACCUGGAAGUCCGGGUGGAGCGGUGAAAUGCGUAGAGAUCCGGAGGAACACCAAUGGCGAAGGCAGGGUCCUGGCUGGAACCUGACGCUGAAGUGCGAAAGCCAGGGGAGCGAACG